rnacentral:rRNA from 1 species
UACGUAGGCAGCGAGCGUUGUUCGGAGUUACUGGGCGUAAAGAGUGCGUAGGCGGUUUUCUAAGUUUGGUGUGAAAUCUCCCGGCUUAACUGGGAGGGUGCGCCGAAGACUGGAAGGCUUGAGUAUGGGAGAGGUAAGCGGAAUUCCUGGUGUAGCGGUGAAAUGCGUAGAUAUCAGGAGGAACACCGGUGGCGAAGGCGGGUCUCUGGGCCAUAACUGACGCUGAGGAGCGAAAGCGUGGGGAGCGAACAGG